UAGAAGCAAAGAUAACAUAAAUACAUUUCUGAACGCAACAUAGGGGCGUUAAACAAUCCGCCAUUUUGUCCCAGUGACAAUUUAGGAUUUAAAUUAGUUUUUAACCCGUCUUUUUUUAAUUAAUCCGUUAUUCAAAGUGAUAUUUUGUGAGCUGUGUAGUGUUUAAAAAGCCUGUGAUAUUUUUGUGUAAAACUAUUUUGUUUACGUUACGCAUAUCUUGACGUUAUUAGUUGACCGAUUUUGACGUCGAACGGACAACUAGAUAAUCAAAAUGGGUACAAGAGAGGACGAAUACGAUUAUUUGUUCAAAGUCGUUUUGAUUGGAGACUCGGGAGUGGGUAAAAGCAGUCUUCUUUCGCGUUUCACUAGAAAUGAAUUCAACUUAGAGUCAAAAUCUACAAUAGGAGUGGAAUUUGCAACAAGAAGUAUAGAGGUUGACGGUAAAACCAUAAAAGCUCAAAUAUGGGAUACUGCGGGUCAGGAGAGGUAUCGCGCCAUCACGUCCGCGUACUACCGCGGCGCGGUCGGUGCGCUGCUCGUCUACGACAUCGCGAAACAUCUCUCCUACGAGAACGUUGAGCGAUGGCUGCGCGAACUGCGCGAUCACGCCGAUCAGAACAUAUUAAUCAUGCUCGUCGGGAACAAGAGCGAUCUUAGGCACCUCAGAUCUAUCCCAACAGAAGAGGCAAAGGCAUUCGCGGAACGGAACGGGCUUAGUUUUAUUGAAACAUCCGCUCUCGACUCGACUAACGUGGAACCGGCAUUCCAGAAUAUAUUAACGGAGAUCUACAGGAUCGUCUCGCAGAAGCAGAUGCGCGACCCGCCCGAGGGCGACGUGAUCCGGCCCGACGCCGAGCCGGCCGACGUGCGGCCCUCCGGCGCCGACUCCGUGCGCAAGCAGUGCUGCCAGUAGACCGGUACCGGUCAUUGUUGUUGUUGGUGACAUAAACGAAAUGUUGACCAUUGUAAAAAAGUCCUGUUAUUUUUGGAGCGGAAGAGAGAAAUGAAAAGGAAUAUAAAAUGCAAGAAAAUGAAUCAUUCCCAGACAAGGUCUAAUCUAUAAAAACAGAACUUUAGUUGCCAGAUCAAAAAUAAACAGUUAAACAUAAAAACCUGCCAUUAAAAAGAACUUAUAUAUUAUACACGGAGUUAUAACUGUGUCUUGAAAUCGCUUGUUAAAAAUAUAUUUAUUUUUGACUGGCAACACUCAACUCAGAAGCAGUAAAGAGCGGCUCAUGUAGAUAGCUUUGUGUAAUUAUUGAUAUUUAGUGUCGGAACUAUUAAAAGGUUAAAUCUAUAAUAAUUAUAAUGUGGAGAUGCAAUUUAUCACAUCGUAGUACGAGUCAGAGCUAUGAACGCACUCGAUUAUUAUUUGGCGCUUCUAGGAACGUACACACCUGAAUGAUUUUUUUUAUUUAAAAGGAAAAAAAAUAUUUGUUUCGACUUAGUGAAUAAUUCAUAUAUCUAUUUAUUUAGUUAAUAAAAAGUGUUUAACUAGCCAGUUCUUUAAUUAUUUGUUAUCUAUAUAAAUUGCGUUAUAGCGCUACUUCCUGUGACGUCAUUUGUCACGCGCUCAUUUUUGACAGAACAUCUGUCAAGAAAAGCGACACUAGCGCUGUAUAUUUUUUACUAAACUACCCUCAAAAUAAACCUUUUUUUAAAGAUAUAUCAGAAUUAAAAGCAAUAAUAUGUUUCGAUUGAUGAAAUUAAAACAAGACAGCUUCAUAUCCAUUUAACAUUUCGCAUAACAUUAGCUAAUAGUUGUAUUAAGAGAUGAGAUAGCUUUAUUAAAUCAUUUUUUUUUAUGGAUAUUACGUGCCUUCGGACAUGGCGACAUGUACGUUUUAUUAGAGCUUUUUUCUCCAUGUUGAAGUUUGAGAAUCGUCUAAACGCCUUAUCUAAUAUUGAUUUCCAAUAACUUCGAUGACAAACCGAUCGAUGACGUCACCAUUUCAACAAAAAUAUUAUUUAAAACCGUUUAAUGUUUAAAUCAACAAUUUGAAAUAAUGAUGGUAUUCGGAGAAGCUUAUUAAACGUGUUUCAAUUAUAAUAUUCGUUCAAAAGAAAGUGGCAAAGCAUUUCUUAACUUAAACAAGUGUAAGGGUUUUCGGCUUUACUUAGAAAUGUUGUUUAGAGGGGUAAUUAGUUAAAUAAUGUGUCUUUUUCUCUCGAAUGUUAAAUGCAUGCUGUUAGAAAGAGAGGAAUCAGUAUUUAACUUAAAAUCCCUAAACAAUGUUUGUAUGUAAGGUGGUUUAUGAUUACAGUUGUAUAAGAGUUAGUUUUAAAGCAUUUUAUAAUAUUAAUAUAGGAUCUUUUGGCUGUGUCAACAUGGAGUUAUUGGUCACUUGGAAACGAACCAACAACAAAUUCGCUUUAUAGGAAAAUAACAUUUGCAUUAUUUGAAAUAAGGGUUAUUUUUAAGUGCCGUUUAUGACAAUACUCAGUAUGGUCUCAUUAACAUCGACGGUCCUGUGGCUCCUUAAGGCUUGUCUCAACAUGCGGUGUUCGUUGUAUAAGAAAUAUGUUAUUGUAUUAUGAUCUUCAUAUGCAUGGUUAUUUUUUUAGUGCCUAUCUGUAAUUACUUUAUUAAAGACAAAGAUAAUAAAAUAUAAUGUAAAUUU